GAAUUUGACACGAACACUUUCAACUCCAACUCACUCAGUCUAAUGACGACUUCUAACUUCAUCUUCAUCUUCAUCUUCCUUAUCCAAUUCUUCACCAUUCCCUCACUUGCUGACCUCCCCGGCACGUGGGAACUCCUGGUCCCUGACGCCGGAAUUGCUUCGAUGCACACCGCCGUCACCCAUUACAACACUGUUGUACUCCUUGACCGCACCGAUAUUGGUCCUUCCCGAAGAAGACUCCCUCCCCACCAUUGCCGUAACGACCCCAAUGACCCCAUUUUGAAAAAAGACUGUUAUGCUCACUCUCUUCUUCUUGAUU
rnacentral:misc_RNA from 1 species